GACGAACGCUGGCGGCGUGCUUAACACAUGCAAGUCGAGCGAUGAAGUUCCUUCGGGAACGGAUUAGCGGCGGACGGGUGAGUAACACGUGGGUAACCUGCCUCAUAGAGGGGAAUAGCCUUCCGAAAGGAAGAUUAAUACCGCAUAAGAUUGUAGUUUCGCAUGAAAUAGCAAUUAAAGGAGUAAUCCGCUAUGAGAUGGACCCGCGUCGCAUUAGCUAGUUGGUGAGGUAACGGCUCACCAAGGCGACGAUGCGUAGCCGACCUGCGAGGGUGAUCGGCCACAUUGAGACUGAGACACGGCCCAGACUCCUACGGGAGGCAGCAGUGGGGAAUAUUGCACAAUGGGGGAAACCCUGAUGCAGCAACGCCGCGUGAGUGAUGACGGUCUUCGGAUUGUAAAGCUCUGUCUUUAGGGACGAUAAUGACGGUGCCUAAGGAGGAAGCCACGGCUAACUACGUGCCAGCCGCCGCGGUAAAAC
rnacentral:rRNA from 1 species